UCUCACCACUGCAUCAGUGCAGUGAUAAAUGUUGAAUAGAUCAUCCCAGAAUUCAAACCAUGAAAAAACAUGUCAAGAGUGAGGGUCACCUCAUCCACCUUCUCUCCUCUAAAAUAACCACUACAUGAGACGUGUUGAGUAAGAAAUUGCUGC